UGGAUAUACGAAUAUCAAUUAAUUGAGAGUGGUAGUGCAUAACAAAUGUGGCGAUCUUCGGGUACUCUGUUAAAACGGAGUCUGUUUUUAACUUCGGCUGCGAGAAAGCCGUUGGGGUUGAGGUGGGCAGAGACUGAGAGUUGUGGCCGAUCGUCGAGAUCUUCACCUUCCUCUGGAGAGGCAUCAUCGAAGGAGACUGAUUCCGACGACAGCUGCCAUGGAAAAGGAGGAAGCGUAAGCAUAGGGGCAGAUGACUUAUCGUUCUCCGAAGUAAAGAAGCUAUUGCGACUGGUGAAUGUGGAUGAAUUGAAGAGGAAGCUUGGGAUGAGAGGGAAGGAGGUGAUCAGCUAUUCUGAGCUUCUCCAAGCUUGUGAAAGCAUGGACGUCGUCAGGUCGCCUGGCGAAGCUGCCGCGUUCGCCCGAGUUCUUGACGAGGCAGGAGUCGUGCUCCUCUUUAGAAACAUGGUCUAUCUUGAGCCUGAUAAGGUUGUGGACCAAGUGAGAAGAGCAGUAUCCCUUGUUUUCACACCUGAAGGCGAUCUUAGGAGGGAUGAACUGAAAAGGCUGCAAAAGGAAAAGGAAGAAAUUGACAUGCUGGCCCACAAGCAUGUGCGCCGCAUCCUUUGGUCUGGGCUGGGUUUUGGGGUGGUGCAGGUGGGGUUGUUUUUCCGGCUCACAUUCUGGGAGUUCUCAUGGGAUGUCAUGGAGCCCAUUGCAUUUUUCAGUACAACCGCUGGCCUGCUGAUCGGUUAUACCUACUUCAUGUUCACAUCAAGGGACCCAACAUACCAAGACAUGAUGGAAAGACUCUUCCUUUCUAGACGGAAGAAGAUGUUUAAGAAAUACAAUUUUGAUGUUGAUCGCUAUCUGGAGUUAGAGAGACAAUGCAAAUCACCUCUACAUAUCACCACCUCGGCCAAAGGACGGGUGGAACUAGAAACUGGGGAUUCUUUGCAUAAGGAUUAAGCUUUUGGUUCUUGAUGAAUUCAUGCAUCUUUAUGCUCCCUUUGGGGCAUGUUUUUAGUGUAUAAUCCACAUCUUUAGCUGGUGAAUUUUACAAAAUUUAUCUCUUUGAUGCGGCCAGACAGAUAUACUUCUAUGAUGAAGAGAGGUGCAAUCAAUGCAGGUU